rnacentral:tRNA from 1 species
GCCCCUGGGAUAGCUCAGUUGGUAGAUCAUGAGGCUCUUAAUCUCAGGUUCAUGGGUUCAAGCCCCAUGUUGGGCA